AUAUCUGUUAGUUUGACCAUUACUUGGUAAACCGUCACGAUGACCAUUCACGGGAACCUUAUGAAAUAUAACUCCUCUGCCAUGACCAUCUCUCUUACUCUACAAUAUCCAACAACAAUGAUUGAACAACUUACAUACAUAUUAAUCAAAGUAUCAUUAACAAAAACAUUGGAAUCAAAGUAUCAUCUGACCGGAUGGUGGCCGCAAGUUUGAGCAGAGUAGAGAAGAUAAAGUUGAUGUUGAAGUUGAAGUUAAGCGAAGGUGUGGAGGAUGAAGGAUGGAGGUGAAGUUUCAUUUGGGAAUAGAGUGAGAAAGCCGUUGUAUGAUGACAGUGGAGGAGGGAGUAGCUACG
rnacentral:lncRNA from 1 species